AGCAGUAGCCGCGGGAAUACGAAGGGGGCUAGCGUUGCUCGGAUUUACUGGGCGUAAAGGGCGCGUAGGCGGACAGUUAAGUUGGGGGUGAAAGCCCGGGGCUCAACCUCGGAAUUGCCUUCAAUACUGGCUGUCUUGAGUGUGAGAGAGGUGUGUGGAACUCCGAGUGUAGAGGUGAAAUUCGUAGAUAUUCGGAAGAACACCAGUGGCGAAGGCGACACACUGGCUCACUACUGACGCUGAGGCGCGAAAGCGUGGGGAGCAAACAGGAUUAGAUACCCCCGUAGUCCCUGUCUCUUAUAC
rnacentral:rRNA from 1 species